rnacentral:rRNA from 1 species
AUGUGGCUCUCAUUUGGUCCCCUUUCUUUUUCUUUUUUUUCUGCCAGGAUCAUCCCAAGAUCACUCAUGCCCAGAGAGGUAACUGGGGAUCCUGUAGGGGAAGUUAGAGCUGUUUCUGGCAUGCACGAGAGGAAGGCCGAAAUGGCUCGGUUUGCUGAUGCUUUUAUUGCCUUACCAGGCGGCUAUGGAACCUUGGAGGAGUUGCUUGAAGUGAUCACGUGGGCACAACUAGGAAUACAUAAGAAGCCGGUCGGUCUGCUGAACGUCGACGGAUUCUACGACCCACUGCUGUCGUUCAUCGACGUGGCCGUCAACGAAGGCUUCAUCACCCAGGAGGCGAGGCAGAUCAUCAUCUCGGCCCCAACAGCCAAGGAGCUAGUGAUGAAGCUGGAGGAGUACGUCCCCGAGUAUGAGGUCGGCCUGGUCUGGGAUGACCAGAACCAGAUGCCAAGCAACAGCCUGGUCCCAGAGCCGCUGGAGACACCCGCGAUCACUUCAUCCUAA